GGGCGUAUGGUCUAGAGGUAUGAUACUCGCUUUGGGUACUUGAUUUGAAUCCACUGCGAGGGGUCUUCGGUUCGAAUCCGGAUUCGCCCC
rfam:Gymnopus luxurians FD-317 M1 unplaced genomic scaffold GYMLTscaffold_4, whole genome shotgun sequence.